GUAGGCUUAAAAAGCCCACCCCGUGUUUGAUGGACGCUCAAAUUAAAACGGUGGGUUUUAAACCCCUGUUUCACUCCCCAUUUGUAGCGUUUUAAUUACUCUACCCCCUCUCUUCCCUCACACUUUUUCAUUACUCACCUCUCUCUUUUCUCAUCUUCUCCUUUCUUUCGUCGUUCUUCUUUGGUUCGUUUGCAUGUCUAUUUUUUUUUUCUUUUUGUUUCUUUGUAUGUUUAUUCCUCUUAGAUUUCUUUGGUUUCUUCUCAGAUUUGGUAGAUAUGAACGCUUUUCUAGUAGAUCUAAAGAUAUUUCGGUAGAUCUAACCAUUUUCUUGGUAGAUCUAACUAUUUUUUUAGUAUACAUGAACGAUUUUAUAUAGAUCUAGUUUUUUUUGUUUAGAUUUGUGUGUUGUCCUCUUGAUUUCCUUAUGUCAUAUUCUUCCUUGCAUGUUUUAUUUUUUCGAUUACUAUUGGCUUUGUACUUCGUUUGAUUUCUGACUAUUCUGAUAUAGCUUACAUGUUUGUGACUACCUAGGAUUUACUCCUAUAAUUUGUUCUUCAGCUCUCACAAUUAGCUUCCACUUUUGUUUCCACGAACUCGAAUGGGUUAUAUUUUCUUUAUCCAUUUAUAUUGUAUUUAAUUCGUCUCUGUUCUUCCUUCCAUAUCUAUUCUAUUUCCUAUUCCAUACUUUUUUUAUCCAGAUUUUCUCUUGUCGCUUCAAUAUUAAAUCACGUGCCCUCCCCUUGCCCUUUUUCUUAUGCUUUUCCAUCGAAAUGGGAUGGCAAGUGGAUCCGUGGUAAGGGAUGCUAACCGUGUUAUUAGAGCUUGGUAGGGGUCAAUCUGCCCCAACAAAAGGUCUAUUUUCUUUUCUUUUCUUUUUUCUAAGGGUCAAUGAUGAUUUGUUCUAAAAACCAACAGUCUCAUAUUAGGGUAUGAUUUCUGUUUUAAUUCUAUUACCUUUCAUGAUUUCUGUUUUAAUUUUAUUGCCUUUUCAUUUUUAGAUUACAAAAAGGCAUACAUCUCUGGUUUUCCUUAUUUUUUGAAUGAUUUUUUUUUUAUUUCCUUUCAAUCUGUUUUUCCUUAUCUUUUGAGUAUAAAUUCUGCUUUAAUUUUAUUUCCUUUCAAUUUUUUUUCUAUUCUAACUCUGUUGAAGGAUUUUUUUUUUCUUCGUUCCAUUGAAUUUGUUUUCAGUAUUGAAAUAAUUUAAUUGUACAUUUAAAUUUGACUUCAAUUUUAGAAGUGUUGAAACUGUUUAUUUUCUUUGCUUGGAAUUGGAUUUGUUCCAAUGAAAUAACUUCUUGAAAUCAUGAGGCCUUCUCAUAUGUAUUAUUAUGUCCUUUCAUGUGUUAGAUAUUAUGUUGUAUUUAUGUCCAUUUCUAGCCCAACCACUAGUAUUGACCUGACCAUUACUUAAUUUAUUUAUUUCUGAGUUGACUGUUUUUAUUAUGGGUUUACCUGAAUUUAUUGAAGUUAGGUGCACUAACUGUACCUAACUUUCCUCACCAAUCAUAUUUAUUGUAUCCUCUACUUAUACCAAUCUCUCCCUGAGACUUCUCCACAGACUUCUUUGAUAAAGUAUGUUGAUACGUCCCUGAUCCUUCCUUUUUAUUUCAAUUUUCUUUUAAACCGAUAAACAUUCUCAUAUGUGUUGUCUGACGGUUGCAACUUGCAAUAUACUUUGUUUCCAUAUACUUUGUUUCCUUCUUCCACCUCUAAUUUCAACGUAUUCCGUUCAUAUAAGAUAUGCAUCCUCCUUUCUUUAUAAUCAAAGUAAGAUAUGUCACUAACAUUUUUAUGUUUUUGUUAGGCCUUGAACCGAUUAUUUUGUCCCCCUAGUUGUGGACCGACUCGACCUUCAUUCACUCUGAACAUAAACAAAGAGCCCAAACUAAUCGAACAUACCUUUCGUAACUAGUUUAAGGUUCGUGAGUUUUUACAUUCGGAAUGAUCUUUGUUAUUGUCUAUUCUUUGUUGUACUUGUUGGAGACUAUUUAGUUGUAAUGUAUUAUGGUUACUUAUUUUUAA